UAAGGGAUAUUGCGCAAUGGGCGAAAGCCUGACGCAGCAACGCCGCGUGGAGGAAGAAGGCCUUCGGGUCGUAAACUCCUUUUGUGAGUGACGAGGAAGGACGGUAGCUCACGAAUAAGUCACGGCUAACUACGUGCCAGCAGCCGCGGUAAAACGUAGGUGGCGAGCGUUAUCCGGAUUUACUGGGCGUAAAGCGUGUGCAGAUGGGAAAGCAAGUGGUGUAUGAAAUCGCUCAGCUUAACUGGGCGGGGUUAUGCCAUACUGCUUUUCUAGAGAACGGGAGAGGGACGUGGAAUUCCGGGUGUAGUGGUGAAAUGCGUAGAGAUCCGGAGGAACCCCUGAGGCGAAGGCGGCGUCCUGGCCCGAUUCUGACAUUCAGACACGACAGCAUGGGGAGCGAACGG
rnacentral:rRNA from 1 species